rnacentral:tRNA from 3 species
GGGCCUGUAGCUCAAUUGGUUAGAGCCAGCGGCUCAUAACCGCUUGGUUGGGGGUUCGAGUCCCUCCAGGCCCACCA